UACGUAGGGGGCAAGCGUUGUCCGGAUUCACUGGGCGUAAAGGGUGCGUAGGUGGCCAGGUAAGUUUGGUGUGAAAGCUCGGAGCUUAACUCCGAAAAGUCAUUGAAUACUAUCUGGCUGGAGGGUCGGAGGGGAGACUGGAAUUCUCGGUGUAGCAGUGAAAUGCGUAGAUAUCGAGAGGAACACCAGUGGCGAAGGCGAGUCUCUGGACGACUCCUGACACUGAGGCACGAAAGCUAGGGGAGCAAACAGG
rnacentral:rRNA from 1 species